GCCCAAUGAUGAGACCAAGGCAAAUACGAGCUGAAUGGCUGGGGCGUCGUGUUCUCUAGCUCUCUGAUUGGUGGGUAAUCUUGGUAGGGCAGUGAAGAUUGGCUGCACUGCUGUAAGGGCCCACCCAUAGAAAUUUCAGGUGCCAUUCAGAAGAAAAUACAAUCUUCCUUUAGAAAUGGAUCAUUGUGGAUGAAUUGCAGCUUACAAUGUGUGUAUGUGUGUUGAGUGUUCCCGUCUGUCUGUGUGCGUGUAAAUGUGUCGGUUAGCAAAGAGUCAUGCGUCUCGUAGGCCUACCUGCUGUGAAUGUUUUCUUUGGUAAUCUGAGGGCA